rnacentral:lncRNA from 1 species
GCCAUACAUUCUAUCCCACACUAGCAUUCACAUUAGUAGCAGUAUGCAAUUUCCACAAUAAAACUGGCGUAAUGAAUUCCUUUACAGGGCGAACACUUCAGGAUGUUCAGGUUUUUCCCUCUCCCUGGAUGGAGCAGUAAUCUGCUCUGCUGCAGACCUCUGGGCAGCAGGCAGGUGGACACGUCGUUUUGCACAAAACUCAGACUUCACCAGGUUCUGAUGCGGAGGCGCACGUGUGCAGGGCAGUGGGGCUGCACCCGACGGGCUGCGGUGCGGAGCACGCUGGGUGGUGGCACGGGAGCGCCGCUCAGCAUCCUGCUGGCGGCCUUGCUGAAGAGACACACAGCAGCAUCUUUGUGGGAGGGCAGCAACCCAGGAGACGACAUCACGGUGAGACAUGUCGUUACGUUUGGGUGUAUGUCCAAAGGAGAGGUGGCCAGAAAUAAUUUAAAAAAUAUUUAUGCUCAGUCUGUGCAAUUGUGAUGAUAUAUCUCCAUCUGAGUUUAAGAACGCUGUGUUAGUAUUUCAGCUGGCAGUUUCC